UUUUUUUUUCCUGAGCGCGACGUGCGUGCAGGCAGUGGAGGGGCGGGGCCGAGCGGUGAUUGACAGGCAGACAGCGAGAAGGCGGGACUAAGGCUUGACUGACAGCUGUUUGGUUUGACAGCUGUUGGCACUAAAGGACGCCUGCAGUGCAGCUGGAGAUGCGCUGGAGCUGCAUUAAUCCAACAUGCUGAGAGGUGCUGCACAGACUAGACUUCCCUCCGGUCCUCGUCCUCCCCGCUGCUGCUGCUUCUUUCCAGGCUGUACAAGUCAACAGGAGUGGCCUGAUUUUUUUGGCAGAGACUCCACAGUGGCCACAACUGACUGACAGAACAGGCAGGGAAAGCGUAACGUGCAGAUGGUGGCGGGCUGUGAUUGUCGAAAUGCAAAUGUUCCCAUUAAAGGGAUAAACUUUCCCUCUUUAUCUAAUCUUCACAACUGCAUGAGCUUAUCACUCUCACUCUGACAGACACACAACACGUCAUUAUACAGCGUCGUGGAUCCUCCAGCGCUGUUUACACUUUGAUUUACUGAGAUGAAAACAUUUUCUUCAAUCAGACAGGCGCGGCUCUUACCACAAGCCCCGUCAGUGUGUGACAGCCAAGCAUGAACGCUAAACAUGAUUAGCAGCUACAAGAGGCGGAUUGCAAAGUUACAACUGGCCAUCAACAUUGUGACAAGAUUACUGCAUGAUGCAAGCCCGAAAUGAAAUCUGAUGUCUGCAUGUGUGUGAGCAGAAACAGCCAAAGAGUGUGCCUACUUUCUAGUUUGUGACUAAUAGAUCUAAUUUUCAUUUAGCUGAACACAUUUUAUAUCACAGCCUUUAAAAUAGAGCUGACACAGUUUGAGUGUCUUCAGACGGCCGUGCUGCUGCUGCUCACACACACUCAGCAGCACUGACUGGCUAUAUUUAUAAGCCAUUACAUAACAUGUUAAACUGCUCGUUGGGGAAAACUGAGGUGACCCAGUUAAGACAGCAACCUGGCUUAAUUUAUAUUAGUCAGAGAAAGAGAGACUGGGACAGACUGUACAUUCAUAUUGUGUUACUGUGCUACUGAGAGCAGAAGUCUAGCAGACGACCAGCUGGGAGCAAUAAAAAGGAGGGAAAGUUAGAAAACAUGCAUUAUGCUGUCAUGUAAACAGUAUUUUCUACAUUUUGUUCACUGUAGUACUGAAAAAGACCAAGGAUGCACUAUGGCAGGGGUGUUAAACAUGCGGCCCGUGGGCCAAAAGAGGCCCCCCAGAGGGUCCAAUCCGGCCCACUGGACGACUUUGUGAAGUGUAAAAAUUACAGAGAAGACAUUAACUGCAAAUUGUAAAUUUGUAAAUCUGUAAAUUUAAAAUAAUUUCUAGAUCAUGACAACUUGUUUUGAUCAUUAAGUAAAAUACUAGAUUGCUCAUUGUUCUUUUGUCUCAUUUUUGAAAUAUUUUGUCCUGUUUUUUGUCUGACUUUUGUCAUUUGUUUCAUGUUUUUGUUGUUUUCCCUUUUUGUCUCGCUUGUGUUUUUUGUCUUAUUUUUGUCAUUUUGUGUUCACUUCAUGCAUUGUUUGUCUCAUUUUUGUCGUUUUGUUUUUUCGUCUCCCUUGUGUCGUUUGUCCAUUUUUUUUAUCACUGUCUGGUUUUUGUAAUAUUUUGUCGUUUUCAUUGUUUUUUGUCUGUUUAUUUCGUUCUUUUGUUGUUGUGAUCAUAAAGUAAAAUACUAUAUCCUUCAGUUUCAGAUACCUGUGACUAAAUGUUUUGUACCUUUGUAGAUACUCUGUGAUCUGUAGGUUUUAUUGUGUAAAUGAUAAACUGAGGCAUAAUUUUG